rnacentral:rRNA from 1 species
GACAGAGGUCCCGAGCGUUAUGCGGAAUCACUGGGCUUAAAGCGUGUGUAGGCGGAUCGUUACGUGCCUUGUGAAAUCCCAUGGCUUAACCAUGGAACUGCUCGGCAUACUGGCGAUCUUGAGCCACUUAGGGGCAACCGGAACAAAUGGUGGAGCGGUGAAAUGCGUAGAUAUCGUAAGGAAGACCAGUGGCGAAGGCGGGUCUCUGGACAGUUCCUGACGCUGAGGCACGAAGGUCAGGGGAGCAAACGGG